UUCCUGUACUAUGAUAUGACAGAACUGUGGGGACACGUGCAGAGAGCGGAAGCCGGGAAUGGGAUCCCGGUGCAAGCGAGGUACCAGCCGCAUUGGAAAAACCGUGCGGCAAUGGGAAGACGUGAUGCGGAGUGAAGUUUAGUAAUGAAGUCCGUGAGCUGUGCGUCAAGAAAAGCCGCUAUUGUUCAUACCAUACCCGUACCGUAAACCGACACAGGUGGAUGAGGAGAGAAUCCUAAGGCCGGCGGAAGAAGCAUUGUCAAGGAACUCGGCAAAAUGACCCCGUAACUUCGGGAGAAGGGGUGCCUGCGAGAGCAGGCCGCAGAGAAUAGGCUCAAGCAACUGUUUAGCAAAAACACAGGUCUAUGCGAAACCGAAAGGUGAGGUAUAUGGGCUGACGCCUGCCCGGUGCUGGAAGGUUAAGAGGAGAGGUUAGCGGUAACGCGAAGCUUUGAAUUUAAGCCCCAGUAAACGGCGGCCGUAACAAUAACGGUCCUAAGGUAGCGAAAUUCCUUGUCGGGUAAGUUCCGACCCGCACGAAAGGCGUAAUGAUUUGAGCGCUGUCUCGACAAUGCAUCCGGUGAAAUUGAAGAACCAGUGAAGAUGCUGGUUACCUGCGCCAGGACGGAAAGACCCCAUGGAGCUUUACUCCAGUUUGGUACUGGGAUCCGGUACUGCAUGUACAGGAUAGGUGGGAGGCUGAGAAUCGGUAACGCCAGUUGCCGAGGAGCCGCUGUUGGGAUACCACCCUUGCAGUAUUGGGUUUCUAACCAGCCGCCGUGACCCGGCGGUGGGACAAUGCCAGACGGGGAGUUUGACUGGGGCGGUCGCCUCCGAAAGGGUAUCGGAGGCGCCCAAAGGUUCCCUCAGGAUGGACGGAAACCAUCCAAAGAGUGCAAAGGCAGAAGGGAGCUUGACUGCGACACCGACGGGUGGAGCAGGUACGAAAGUAGGGCUUAGUGAUCCGGUGGUAUUAAGUGGGAAUGCCAUCGCUCAACGGAUAAAAGCUACCCUGGGAUAACAGGCUUAUCACUCCCAAGAGUUCACAUCGACGGAGUGGUUUGGCACCUCGAUGUCGGCUCAUCGCAUCCUGGGGCUGUAGUAUGUCCCAAGGGUUGGGCUGUUCGCCCAUUAAAGCGGUACGCGAGCUGGGUUCAGAACGUCGUGAGACAGUUCGGUCCCUAUCCGGCGUGGGCGUAGGAUAUCUGAGAGGAGCUGUCCUUAGUACGAGAGGACCGGGAUGGACGGGCCGCUGGUGCACCGGUUAGACUGCCAAGUCUAUAGCCGGGUAGCCAAGCCCGGAAGGGAUAAACGCUGAAGGCAUCUAAGCGUGAAGCCCCCCUCAAGAUGAGAUAUCCCAUCCGAAAGGAGUAAACCCCCUUGAAGACGACGAGGUCGAUAGGGCAGAGGUGGAAGUGUGGUAACACAUGGAGCUGACUGCUACUAAUAGGGUGAGGGCUUGACC
rnacentral:rRNA from 1 species